rnacentral:rRNA from 1 species
GAUGAACGCUGGCGGCGUGCCUAAUACAUGCAAGUCGAGCGAACGGACGAGAAGCUUGCUUCUCUGAUGUUAGCGGCGGACGGGUGAGUAACACGUGGAUAACCUACCUAUAAGACUGGGAUAACUUCGGGAAACCGGAGCUAAUACCGGAUAAUAUUUUGAACCGCAUGGUUCAAAAGUGAAAGACGGUCUUGCUGUCACUUAUCGAUGGAUCCGCGCUGCAUUAGCUAGUUGGUAAGGUAACGGCUUACCAAGGCAACGAUGCAUAGCCGACCUGAGAGGGUGAUCGGCCACACUGGAACUGAGACACGGUCCAGACUCCUACGGGAGGCAGCAGUAGGGAAUCUUCCGCAAUGGGCGAAAGCCUGACGGAGCAACGCCGCGUGAGUGAUGAAGGUCUUCGGAUCGUAAAACUCUGUCAUUAGGGAAGAACAGAUGUGUAAGUAACUGUGCACAUCUUGACGGUACCUAAUCAGAAAGCCACGGCUAACUACGUG